UACGAAGGGGGCUAGCGUUGUUCGGAUUUACUGGGCGUAAAGCGCCCGUAGGCGGAUCUUUAAGUCAGCGGUGAAAUCCCAAGGCUCAACCUUGGAACUGCCUUUGAUACUGGGGAUCUUGAGUCCGGGAGAGGUGAGUGGAACUGCGAGUGUAGAGGUGAAAUUCGUAGAUAUUCGCAAGAACACCAGUGGCGAAGGCGACUCACUGGCCCGUUACUGACGCUGAGGCGCGAAAGCGUGGGGAGCAAACAGG
rnacentral:rRNA from 1 species